GUCCCCGUUUUACAGCACUGAGAACUAAGCAAUAGUUCCAAGAGGUGGUGAUGCAAUUGCCGGAGGAUCCCUGCCUCAGCUGGAGGGAUGGAAGUAAUAUCUGCACACAGAUUCAUGCGGCCCUGUGGAGUUCAACAGAUUUGUACAGUUCUUCCAGCGCCAAGAGUUAUCUGUUCUUGUAAUGCAAGGGACUGAGCCACAUCGCAAUGACCUGCAAAAGCAGCACGAAGGACCUAUAGGUUUGUUGCACCUUCCUCAGAAGUAUUUCCUGAGCACUGCUGGAGGAAAGAACACCAAGCUUGGUGGACAAUUGAUAGGAU